AACGUACGCUGGCGGCACGCCUAACACAUGCAAGUCGAACGCAGUAGCAAUACUGAGUGGCAGACGGGUGAGUAACAUGUGGGAAUCUGCCUUGUGGGUUCAAGGACAACAUUGGGAAACCGAUGCUAAUACUGGAUAAGCCCUUACGGGGAAAGUUUUAAUGCCAUAAGAUGAGCCCGCAUUUGAUUAGUUAGUUGGUGAGGUAAUGGCUCACCAAGACAAUGAUCAAUAGCUGAUCUGAGAGGAUGAUCAGCCACACUGGGACUGAGACACGGCCCAGACUCCUACGGGAGGCAGCAGUGGGGAAUCUUGGACAAUGGGCGCAAGCCUGAUCCAGCCAUGCCGCGUGAGUGAAGAAGGUCUUCGGAUUGUAAAGCUCUUUUGCCAGGGACGAUAAUGACGGUACCUGGAGAAUAAGCCCCGGCAAACUUCGUG
rnacentral:rRNA from 1 species